GUGGGGAAUCUUGCGCAAUGGACGAAAGUCUGACGCAGCGACGCCGCGUGGGCGACGAAGGCCUUCGGGUUGUAAAGCCCUGUGGGGAGGGACGAACACUGAUUGUUCAAAUAGGGCAGUCAGCUGACGGUACCUCCUUAGCAAGCACCGGCUAACUCUGUGCCAGCAGCCGCGGUAAGACAGAGGGUGCAAACGUUGCUCGGAAUUACUGGGCGUAAAGCGCGUGUAGGCGGUCACGCAAGUCAGGUGUGAAAGCCCAGGGCUCAACCCUGGAAGUGCACAUGAUACUACGUGGCUGGAGUACUGAAGAGGAGAGCGGAAUUCCCGGUGUAGAGGUGAAAUUCGUAGAUAUCGGGAGGAACACCAGUGGCGAAGGCGGCUCUCUGGGCAGAUACUGACGCUGAGACGCGAAAGCGUGGGUAGCAAACAGGAUUAGAUACCCCAGUAGUCC
rnacentral:rRNA from 1 species